GCUUACUGCCACACCGCCUGGUUCACGCCUGAUCUCGUAAGCUAAGAUAGGUUGGGCCUGGUUAGUACUUGGAUGGGAGACCGCCUGGGAAUACCAGGUGCUGCAAGCU
rnacentral:rRNA from 1 species